rnacentral:rRNA from 1 species
GAUGAACGCUGGCGGCGUGCUUAACACAUGCAAGUCGAACGGAGUUUGUAUGGAAUGAGUCUUCGGACAAGUGAAAUAUAAACUUAGUGGCGGACGGGUGAGUAACGUGUGGGUAACCUACCCUAUACAGGAGGAUAACAGUAAGAAAUUACUGCUAAAACUGCAUAAGAUUACGAGUUCGCAUGAACAAGUGAUAAAAACUUUAGUGGUAUAGGAUGGGCCCGCAUCUGAUUAGGUAGUUGGUGGAGUAAAAGCCUACCAAGCCGACGAUCAGUAGCCGAUCUGAGAGGAUGACCGGCCACAUUGGGACUGAGACACGGCCCAAACUCCUACGGGAGGCAGCAGUGGGGAAUAUUGGACAAUGGGGGAAACCCUGAUCCAGCGACGCCGCGUGAGUGAAGAAGUAUUUCGGUAUGUAAAGCUCUAUCAGCAGGGAAGAAAAUGACGGUACCUGACUAAGAAGCCCCGGCUAACUACGUGCCAGCAGCCGCGGUAAUACGUAGGGGGCAAGCGUUAUCCGGAUUUACUGGGUGUAAAGGGAGCGUAGACGGCGAUGUAAGUCUGAAGUGAAAGCCCACGGCUCAACUGUGGGACUGCUUUGGAAACUAUGUAGCUAGAGUAUCGGAGAGGCAAGCGGAAUUCCUAGUGUAGCGGUGAAAUGCGUAGAUAUUAGGAGGAACACCGGAGGCGAAGGCGGCUUGCUGGACGAAGACUGACGUUGAGGCUCGAAGGCGUGGGGAGCAAACAGG